AACGAUGAGUGUUCGCCCUUGGUCUACGCGGAUCAGGGGCCCAGCUAACGCGUGAAACACUCCGCUUGGGGAGUACGGUCGCAAGACCGAAACUCAAAGGAAUUGACAGGGGCCUGCACAAGCUGUGGACCAUGUUGUUUAAUUCGAUAGAAUGCGCAAAACCUUACCAACCCUUGACAUAUGAACAACAAAACCUGUCCUUAACAUGAUGGUACUGACUUUCAUACAGGUGCUGCAUGGCUGUCGUCAG
rnacentral:rRNA from 1 species